CCCCUGCGGUGUACGUAACAUUGCUUCACAGGUUUUGAGCCAACACUCUGACCUAGGGAACCUGAUUCUCCUCCCACCAAAAACAAGCCUCCUUCGAGUGGACGUUUGCGGUAGGCAGGGAAGGUACCCACCUGCACACGCAGGUUCAAAACAUGGAGCAAGACGGCAUUGUGGGGAU
rnacentral:other from 1 species